ACUUUAAUAGUUAAGUAUAUGAAGUUAGUAUAAGAUAAAUUUCAAGAUGAGUCAUGUGUAUAGUAAAUUUACAUUUAAGUAUAUAUUUUUUCUUUUGUUGGAAAAGUGUUUUAAGUAUAUAAUUUUUUUUUUUGUUGGAAAAGUGUGACGAUCUUUUUAUAAUUUGUUGUAUUUUUCUCCUUGAAGCUGUAAAAUGACGAAAAUGCUCAUUUUAGGCUAAGUGAAAUCCUACAUAGAUAUUUGAGCUCACUUCAUAUUUUAUCUCCUUUCUUAUCAUCUUGUAGUACUCGUUAUUAUGAACGCUCGAUCGGAACAUGAUUUGAGCUAAACAGAAGGUGGGUCUGUUUCAGAGAAUAUCUGUUUUCUGUUUUAGAAAUAUCUCAUUGUCUUUUAUGUGAGAUAUUUCUAUUUAAAGAAAUAUCACAAUUUGGGAAAUCUUCCCACCUUCACAUCUCUCUCCACCAUCUCAUCUUUCUCUCUCUCAUCUCGGCCUCCCUCUUCUCGCCGCAACUCAAAUAAACGACGUCAUCUCAGACAGAUUGACGCUCAAAACUCCACAUUUUCACUCACCUGGUCACGUCGAACCCAGCCAUGGGUUUGGAUUCGUGAUAAUCUGAACCCAACUGUACAAGCAAAGGCUUCGCCCAGGCCAAACUUCCCGACGAGCUUUUCAUCGUUUUCCCAGCAAAGAUCGCAGAGGAGGAAACCUACUGCAGUUCUAGUAAGUUUUGUAGAGAAACGACAUGGGUUUUCUGACUUGAUCUCGUCAAGUUUAGACAAGAUCGUGACCACCAAACAACUCUCCAAUGUCCCUAGGCUCAGUUUCGUGCAACCCGUUGCAGUUACGAGAUUUCCAAAUUCGGGCCGAAACUUUCCUAGCCUAUUUAAAGGCUUGCCAUUUUUUGGCCAAACCAUGGUAAUGCUUGGAUUCUACACCCUCAAAUUGGCCUAGGUUGUGAAUUUCGUAGUCAUUGGUUGAAUACUUCAAGCUCAUCGCGUGUCUGGAAAAAUUUCGGCAAAUUUCCUAGUUUCCGGCGACACAGGCAGCUGACGAAACGCAGUUGACCAGCUCACCAGAGAAGAUGAAGAAAUAUAUAUUCUGUCAAUUGGGCGAAGUCAGGCAACCAUUACUUUUUCCAUUAACCUUAAAUGAAUAUUCCUUCCGGUCUUGGUAUGCAAGCGCGUGAUCAUGCAUAGCUGAAGCGUGGCGGUUCCCGGCGGCAUGUGGCGGCACGUGAGCCCUGUUUUUAACACUUUCAACUCCACUUUGAGCAAGCAAAAGACAUAAUUUUUCAAGUCUUUCCUUAGUAUUUACAAACUUUGGGUAAUUUAACUAUGAGCAUGUAAUAAUUUCCCAUAUAAGAAAAACUUAGCCCGAAGAGUUUAGAGGCCAAGGAAAGUAAGGCGGCUACGACCUGAUUACAUAUUAGUGAGUGGACUUUGUUUUCAAGCAUAUAUAUAUAUAUAUAUAUAUAUAUAUAUUUUGUAGUUUCCAUAACUGCUUGGAUAAUGUGUUUUUACGUCAUAUCAUGCUUUUACUUAUGAUUAUAAGUAUUAUUUGAGGGUGUUGAUGUGUAUGAAAUUAUUUUGGCAUGAUCACACGUAUAUUUUUAUUUGCUUAUCAUGCAUGCUUAUAUCGGUGUCUAUAGUACGCGUUCGAGCUAGGAUCGGCUAAAGUGUAUGUUCACAUUGCACAAUUAUACUCACUAUGGAUCUAUUGCAGGUGUUAGCAUGUAUUGGUUUGCAUUAGGCAAUUAAGACUCAUAUGUGAUGCGUUUAGCACCAGCUUCAUGUGUAUGUAGUAUUUGAGCGUAAACACCCAACUUGUUCCAUGUAGUUACUUUCUGAAUGGACUUAUGUCUAUACUAUUGUGAUGAGCAUACUAUUUUAUAUAGUUGAGAUGUUGCAGUUUACUGUACAUUUGAAUAUUUGUAUUUACCCAGUAAAUGUGAGAAUUUAAUUUCUUGUAUUUGUGAGAAUAUUCAUCCUAGUCGGGAUGAGAAUAUUCUUCUAUAAUUACCCUCUUAUCUAUGCUCUGACAUUACAUUUAUGUAAUAUGGAUACAUCCCGCACUGCACAUUCUCGUAAAUUAGUUUUAGGUUUCGAUUUUAAUUUAUUCACACUUUUACCCAAAAAUUAUCAUAAUAUGAUUUCGUCACCUUCCAAAUAUUGGCCAGCAAGCCUCGGGUUUAAGUAUCCACCUAAAUAUCCGAUAGGGAUGUGUCAAAAAGUAUAGAGUAUUAAGAAAUAUUUUAUUUUAGAGUUUCAAAUAUAGAGUAUGGUUGAGGUAGGAAACUUUUAGAGUUGGAAUAUUAUGGGGAUAUACCAUUUUAAAAUCAAAUUUUAGAGUUUGAAGUAAGAGUAGAAUUGGAGAUGUUAUAAUGAACCCAACAUUGAGAAAGAAUAAAGGAGCUUCUAAUGGCUUAUAGCACUAAUUACUACUGUUUUAAUAAUAUUAUAAAUAAAAACUUUAUUUUUGUUGGUUCAUGGUCAUUGCAAAUCAUUUUUUUAGUAAAAUAAUAUUCCACACUAAGAAAAAGUGAAGAGUUUAAACUUAGAAUCUGAUCGAAAAGAAAAUUCUUAAUUACAAAGUCAAUCUACCACUUCUGGUCAAUGUGGCUCUUUACGAGUUCCAAUUACAUUUCAUGCAUCAUAAAUAUUGGAAUUAUUGAUAUUUCUUGUUGCGGCCUAAAGUAAUAAGGCACUAAGAACAGCUCCAGCGGAAGCUCCUGCUCGAGGGACCAGCUCCGGAACAGGGCUGGAUUGCCCGAGGGAAGAAGCCCAGCGUUGGCCGGCGAAGGAGCCUGAGCAAGCUCAAGCGCUAGGCUGGUCGAUUUGUGCCGGCCCGAGCGACCGAAGGCAAUCUGACGUGGGCUGACAUUAGGACAACGUCUCCACGCUUUUUGAGGGCCACGGAGGUUGCUGCUGCUGUUCGGGGCAGCCGGGCGCUGGUGAGCCUGAGAUCGCUUCAAGGCGGCCAUGAGAGCAUUAGAGAUGGGGGUCUCCAUGCCUGGACUCAUGUUUUGGGCAGUGGGUAACUGCUUCAGAGCCACACUGAAGCAGAGCUCCAAAGCUCGGCACUGCAAAGGGUGGGAGGAAUUGGGGUGAGAUUUGAUGCAUGCUUGGCGGAGGAAGCCGGUGGGGGAGGACAAAAGGGUUCCGUCGACCCGCUUCGGCAGAGACAAAGGCAGCAGCAGCAAAUGAAAUCAACGACGGAGAUGCAAUGGUUAAGACAAGUUUUGUGAAAAAAUCCUAUUAUUUUAUUGCCUAUUGCCAGGGCUAUUCAAGUGCAACGGUGGAGAUGCAAAAUGUAGUUAUUGUUCAUUAAGGGCAGUUACUAUUCACUAGGUGGAUUAAAUAGUGAAUAGCCUGGGGAAAAGGCUCCCAUGCUGGAGUUGCUCUAACAAGUGGCAAACAAUAUCGUAUUGCAUAUAUGUCAAUUUACUUGUACCAUGUUAUAUUGUGCGUGUUAAUUAAGACUAGAUUUCCUUGCAUAA